rnacentral:rRNA from 1 species
UCAAGAUGAGAUUUCCCAAUUAGUAAGACCCCUUGAAGACGACGAGGUAGAUAGGUUGGGGGUGGAAGUGCAGUAAUGCAUGGAGCUGACCAAUACUAAUCGGUCGAGGGCUUAUCCUAAA